AGAGUCCACACAAAGGGCUUAAUGGAAGCUGAGAAAGUAUCAGGCAUUAUUCAUGGUUGUUGCCCCAAUCCUCUCCUUAUACUUCUUGAGCCUCAAAACCAACAGCCUCUUCCUAAGCCCAAAAGCACAACUGCAUCUUGCAGGCACACCUUUGCAGCCACAACAACUUCCUCUUUUUUCCCAAACACUCAUUUUACUAACCAUGAAUCCCUUCCUUCCUAUCAAGAAUCAUUUGCUCACUUCCUCAAAGCUUAUCCUAAGUAUUCCGAAUCUCGACAAGUCGACAAGAUUCGGAAUCAAGAAUAUUAUCAUCUCUCAGUUUCUAACCAUGUGUGCAUGGAUUACAUUGGCAUUGGUCUCUUCUCAUACUCACAGGUGGUCCCGGUCACAUCCUCCUCUUCUUCUUCUUCGCCGUCAUCUCAUGAAUAUCCUUUCUUUGACAUAUCUUGCAAGUCUGUGGAUCUCAAAUACGAGCUAUUACAUGGCGGAGAUGGAUCACAAUUGGAAUCCUGUAUCAAGAAAAAGAUCAUGAAUUUUCUUAACAUGUCUACGAAUGAAUAUUCCAUGGUGUUUACUGCUAAUAGAUCAUCAGCUUUCAAGCUUAUAGCCGAAUCUUACCCUUUCAAAACGAGUCGAAAGCUUCUUACCGUUUAUGAUCAUGAGAGUGAAGCAUUGGAGAGUAUGGUCAAUACAUCAGAGAAAAGAGGGGCUAACAUAAUGUCAGCAGAAUUUAAAUGGCCACGGCU
rnacentral:misc_RNA from 1 species